rnacentral:ncRNA from 1 species
UACGGACUUAAUUGAAUUGAGCCUUGGUAUGGAAACUUACUAAGUGAUAACUUUCAAAUUCAGAGAAACCCUGGAAUAAAAAAAGGGCAAUCCUGAGCCAAAUCCUGUUUUACGAGAAUACACAAAGGUUCAGAAAGUAAGAAUAAAAAAAAAAGGAUAGGUGCAGAGACUCAAUGGAAGCUGUUCUAAUAAAUUAAAUGGGAGUGACUGCCUUUGCGUUGGUAAAGGACUUUUUCUAUGGAUAUUGAAACUAUAGAGAAGGAUAAACCUAUAUACAUAUGCAAUGCAAAAGUAUCUCAAAAAUGACGACCUGAAUCCCUAUUUUCUUAUUUAUAUGAAAAAAGAAAAUUGUUACGAAUCGAUUCCAAGUUGAAGAAAAAAUAGAAUAUUCAUUAAUCAAAGCAUUCGCUCCAUAGUCUGAUCGAUCUUUUAAUUGAUAACUGAUUAAUCGGACGAGAAUAAAGAUAGAGUCCUGUUCUACAUGUCAACACCGACAACAAUGAAAUUUAUAGUAAGAGGAAAAUCCGUCGACUUAAAAAAUCGUGAGGGUUCAAGUCCCUC